GCACGUAGUUAGCCGGGACUUCUUCUGCAGGUACCGUCAGUUUCCCUUCGUCCCUGCCGAAAGGGGUUUACAACCCGAAGGCCUUCAUCCCCCACGCGGCGUCGCUGCGUCACGCUUUCGCGCAUUAGCGCAAGAUCCCCCACUGCUGCCUCCCGUAGGAGUCUGGGCCGUGUCUCAGUCCCAGUGUGGCUGGCCGUCCUCUCAGACCAGCUACCCGUCGUCGCCUUGGUGGGCCGUUACCCCACCAACAAGCUGAUAGGCCGCGGGCCCAUCCCGGACCGUCGGAGCUUUCCCGGCGCGACCAUGCGAUCGCGCCGGAGUAUCCGGUAUUAGCUCAGGUUUCCCCGGGUUAUCCCGGUGUCCGGGGCAGGUUGCCCACGUGUUACUCACCCGUUCGCCGCUCUCCCCUCGGAAGGGUUACCCCUCCUGAGGUUCCCGCUCGACUUGCAUGUGUUAGGCACGCCGCCAGCGUUCGUC
rnacentral:rRNA from 1 species